rnacentral:rRNA from 1 species
AGUGAACGCUGGCGGUAGGCCUAACACAUGCAAGUCGAACGGCAGCACAGUAAGAGCUUGCUCUUACGGGUGGCGAGUGGCGGACGGGUGAGGAAUACAUCGGAAUCUACUUUUUCGUGGGGGAUAACGUAGGGAAACUUACGCUAAUACCGCAUACGACCUACGGGUGAAAGCAGGGGAUCUUCGGACCUUGCGCGAUUGAAUGAGCCGAUGUCGGAUUAGCUAGUUGGCGGGGUAAGGGCCCACCAAGGCGACGAUCCGUAGCUGGUCUGAGAGGAUGAUCAGCCACACUGGAACUGAGACACGGUCCAGACUCCUACGGGAGGCAGCAGUGGGGAAUACUGGACAAUGGGCGCAAGCCUGAUCCAGCCAUACCGCGUGGGUGAAGAAGGCCUUGGGGUUGUAAAGCCCUUUUGUUGGGAAAGAAAAGCAGCAGGUUAAUACCCCGCUGUUCUGACGGUACCCAAAGAAUAAGCACCGGCUAACUUCGUG